ACAUUUUUUCACUGUUAAUAAGCCAUUAAGUAAACAAUUUUUUGCAGUCUUUUUUUUACAGACAAAAUUUAGUAUGAUGUUCAUUGCCAUAAAUGAUAUCUGCUUGUAAAAUACCAUUUAUAUCAUAAAUUAUACAUUCACUCUAAGAGUGGGUACGUAACAGCAUUUAUACCUUGUCCAUCUGUUUGUCCAGAAAUUUCAACCUGUCACACUUUUUUCUUCAUAUUUAGACAGCUGCUUGAACAUGGUAAAUUAAAUAAUAUGAGCUUUUUUCAGAUCUCUGAGACACCUACUUUCUUUUUACCAAUACUGGUAAAUUACUUCGAAUUUUUCAAUGUGUUGAAUUAACUUUUAAAAACAUUUCACAAUUUCUUGUACAUUUGUACUACUGAACGAGGAUGACUAAUAUUUAGUCAUCAGCUUAGCAAUGAUGAGUAGUUUAAAAAAAAAGAUAUGAUGCCUUGUUGGUUCUCUAAGACACUUCUUUCCUGUUUUUGAAUUUCAAUUGUAUAAAUGACAUGCAUGCAAUAUUUUUGUUGUCUGUUUUACAUUAAAGAACUUUAAGCCUUUCAUACAAUCAAACUGGAUUUUGCUGCUUUAGUUAUUUUAAACAACAAGUUUACAUUCCAAAAAAACUUCUUAUUUUAACAAUUAAUGAAGCCAUACACAGCUACUUUUGCAUAGGUAAUAUUUCUGUACUAAAAAUCUGUAGUACUGGAAAUUUACUUUUAAUAUUCAGUACUAUUUUGUUACUUUAAAAUUAUUGUAAUAUUUAGGUACCUGUUUUUUUACAGUACUUAUUUUCUACUUGAAAU
rnacentral:lncRNA from 1 species